rnacentral:misc_RNA from 1 species
AAAAGCACUGCGCAGGGUGCGUUCGAUCUCGUCGACCUUCUCAUGAACGUAGAUGACGCUCAUCGACGGCACCGCGCGGCAGUGGAAGUUCACGAUCUCGCCGGCAUCGGUAUCGCGCACCCGCACAUUAUGCACGUCAUGGAUCGCACCGCUGUCCGCUGCAUAGCGCGACAGCGCCUUCUGGAUAGCCUCGACGCGGUCCGCGCUGGCGUCGGUGCCGUGGGGAAGCUCAGGUUCGAGCGGCUCGAUAUGGGUAUCGACCUCGACAUCGGCGCUGACCGGCAUCGCCU